GUUUACCGCCAUAUGACGUUGAAAACACCGGUUCUUUCCCGAUCACCGAAGUUAAGCAACGUCCAGCCCGGUUAGUACUUGGAUGGGUGACCACCUGGGAAUACCAGGUGCCGUAGACUU
rnacentral:rRNA from 1 species